UGUUGGUGAGGCUGGUCUUGAACUGACUUCAAAUGAUCCGCCCACCUCAGCCUCCCAAAGUGCUGGGAUUAACAGGUGUGAGCCACUGCGCCUGGCCCAGUAUAUUGUUUAACAACAGUUUAUUUUGGGUGAGAAAUUCUCUUUAAUGUGAAGAAGAAAGCUAGAAUGUGAAUUCAUAUCUAAAAGGACAAACUGAAAAAAAAUUCAGUAACAAGAUUAAGUUUUCUGCUAUUAAGUUGAGCUAUUUCAAGAUAGAAUACCAGAUUAGGUUUUGAAUUACAGUAGUCCCUCCUUAUCUGUGGGGUGUAAGACCCACAGUGGAUGCCUGAAGGUGCCAAGAGUACUGAAGCCUUGUUUUUUCCUAUACAUAACUGAUUAAUUUAUAAAUUAGGCACAGUAAGAGAUUAACAGCAAUAAUGAGAACAUUUAUAACUAAUAAGUUAUGUGAAUGCGGUCUCUGAAAAUACUGUAGUGUGGGAAAGUGAAACAAUGGUAAGGGAGGACUACUGUGUAUCUUCAUUUUGGUCUUAAGCUUUAGAAUUAUGGGUAACUAAAACCGUUUGAGAUGUUAUAUUCCAUGACUAAUUUAAACUUACCUAGGAAUUGUAUUAUUUAUGGGGAAGGCAGUUAUUUUAAAAAUGCUUGUUUAAGGAAGCCGUUGCUGUAUUUGAAUUAAGAUAACUUUCAGUAGAGAUUAUUAGCGAAGGUUGACCAGGUUCGCUACGUGCUUAUAGAAGUAAGCUAUUUGUUGACAAUUUUAGAGUUAAAUUUGGCAGUCUUGGUUACCUACCAAACUUUAAGAUAGAAGUCAAGAUUUCUGUUACCCAACCAUGAGAGCUUUGGUUGUCUUAUGUCAUAUUUGAUAAGGAUAGUCCUCUGUUAAAUAGUGAGAUAUUAGAACAAAUGGACUUAAGUAAAAUCUUCAGUCAUCUUUGUGAUUGCCCUCUAUUAUAUUCUGAGUGGGAGAGGCCUCCCAAAGCCAUGAAAGAAUUGAUAAAUUGGCCUACCUAAAAAUAAGAAAUCUUACAUUCAGACUUGGGGCUUUCACUUACCAUAAGAUGAAAACUAAUUUUCAGUGUUUCCCCGUGUUAGGUGACUUAAUAUGCUAAAACAUUUGGGGUGAUCUAUUUUAGAUACAUACCUGUGUCUGGGACCUAGUUCCCUAGCUCUACCAAAUGCUAGCAGUAUGAACUUUAUGUACUUAAACAGUUUUUUAUGGUCGAAGUGUUAUUUUAAAGUAGUAACUAUUGCAUAAAGGAUAUCAGAUAAGAGUUUCUAAAACCGAAAUAGAGUAAUAGUUUGUUUCCUUAAGAAUUUCUAAAUAUAUUAAUUAGAUCCAAGAGGCACACUUGUUGGGUUCCUUGUCACCUUUCUUGGAGCCUGUGACUUCUUUCAUUCUCUUUUCCAUAAAAUAUAUUUAAGUUUCUAAGCUAAGAACAACUAUUGUUUUAAUCAAGAGUACCUCCAGAAUGAAUUCAGGAUUUGAGAUGGGUCCUUCCUGGCUCAUGUUUGAUAUUCUUGUAAGUGUGGAUCAAAAUUCAAUCUCAAAAUUCUCAAUAAUCAAGACCAGGUGACUUCAAGGAGUGAACACAUUGGAAAGCGCUGAAACGAGGGCAAGAAUUAGAUCUCACACCAGCCACAACUUGGAGGUCAGAAACCCUCCUUGCCCUGAUUGGAAACUCAACUUAUCCUGCAGCAAAGGUAAAUAAAAAUGUUUCAAUGGAACUUCAUUGUGCUCCUGGGCCUUUAUUCUUCAAGAGUUAACAGUGCAGACUUCUAGUGAUCCUCAUCCUGGGUGUUGCCACAUCUACAGAAUAGUGACUCAGGAGUGCAAUAGACUGUCGCAUUAAAAGGAAAGAAAAAUAACUUUUCAGCUUAUGUAGCACUAAAUUUUGGAACUGGAAAUGGCCUUUAUAUCAUCUAGUCUUUCAUUAGAAAGGCGGGACAAUUAACUUGGACAUUGUCCUCGGGCAGGUAAGAGAUAGUAAAAUACCAUAAUCCAUUCAUAUUUGUGUAAUUCUUUGAUUCUCCACGUUUUUUCCAAAAGAAAGAUUAAUGGCUUAUACAAAGAAAAACAAGAACAAAAUAUACAAAGAGAAAAAAACAAGGUUAUGAAAGAAAUUAAAAGCAAGGUAGUGAAUCACGAGCUUGAAUAGGGCUCUGUUUUUCUUACUGGUUUUGUAACAUCAGACAACUCAUGUAACCUUUCGGUUUCCUCAUCUGUAGAAUUUGAAUGUUUUUGGUGAUUAAAUGAGGUAAUACAUUUAAGACACUUAUCCUGGUGGCAAGAAAUAGCAAAUGCUCGAUAAAUAUUAGCUAAAAGUAUACAUGCCAAUAUACAUGGGUUAAUACAGAUACCAUGAUGGAGUAUUAGAUUCAUUUCUAGCUGACUGCAGCCUUCAGCUUCCGAACUCAAGUGAUCCUUCUGCCUGUCUUUCAAGCAGCUGGGACCACAGAUGUGUGCCACCACACAUGGCUAGGUUGCCCAGGCGGGUCUUAAACUCCUGGGCUCAAGCAAUCCUCUCCCUUGGCCUCCCAAAGUGCUGCGAUUACAGGUGUGAGCCGCUGUUCCCAGCCCUGAGGUUCUUGAUAGUCUAGGUAGAGAGAAAAAUUAAGUAAGUUAUGUGGAAAACAUACAUUCUUUAGGAGAGUUUUUCCUGGCACCAAAUAAAUACUCAUCCCACAGAGUUAGAGGGAUAUUGAGUACUGGACUUGAUUAUGUCCUUGACCCCAGUACUAAAUUUGUGAACUUGGACAAGUUAUUUAACCUAUCAUGUAUAAAUGUAUAACAUACUGUAUGUUUACUUUUAGUCACUUUUGAUAUUGGUAAACAGUGAUGAAUAAAGUGUUUUGGGAAGUGCCUUUUUCAUUCAA